rnacentral:tRNA from 1 species
GCCCGGGUGGAGAAAUUGGUAGACUUACCAGAUUCAGGUUCUGGCGCUGUAAAAGGCAUGCAGGUUCGAGUCCUGUUCCGGGCA